GCGGGGGUAACUCAGUUGGUAGAGUGCCUGCCUUCCAAGCAGGUUGUCGCGGGUUCGAGUCCCGUCCCCCGCUCCA
rnacentral:tRNA from 1 species